GACGAAGGAGAAAUCUACGUGGUGUUUUGAAAAAGUGUGACGUCAUCAUUGCUGACGUCACAGUUGUUGUUCUCACGAUGGUCACCCAUUUUGGGGCUUAGAAAAACUUCACGAGUACUGUAAACUUAGUUUAUUCAACUCCCAAGGAGGUCCGUACUGUACGGCGAUCGGAGUGCAACUGCCUCGAUUGCCUACAGUGCGGGCGUAUUUAUAGGACUCGGCGCACGAGCACGUGCUUACAAGUUUUAGGUUAAGUAUUGAAAUUACAAUGAUAACGUUAAUUUUACAUCGUGUUAAACUUAAAAUAAUCAACUGAUGAUUAAUAAACUGAUUUUUAGGACAAUCAAGUGAAUUAACCAAACUUAUUCUACUUUCUCUGGAUAAUUGAUGUGGUUGCGCCGACACGGCCAUACUGACAGGCGGUGCGCGCUCUGCACCAGCCUCGUUGAUUUUUUUGUUGAUUCUCGUAGGUUCUCGGUGAUUCUCGUAGGUUCUCGGUGAUUCUUGUAGGUUCUCGGUGAUUCUCGUAGGUUCUCGGUGAUUCUCGUUGGUUUUGUUAUGUUGUGAUGUGAUUACCUGUAGGCAAAGAAAGUAUUUUCUCUGAGAAGGAUUUCUGUUCAUUAUAAAUUAGUUGUUAUUCUCGGAGGGUCUCGUAGAGUUCUCGGAGGGUCUCGUAGAUUUCUCGGAGGGUCUCGUAGAUUUCUCGGAGGGUCUCGUAGAUUUCUCGGAGGGUCUCGUAGAUUUCUCGGAG